GAAAAGAUACACGAUUGUGUUUUGCCAACUGACAAACAUCACACUUAAAAGACUCAACAGAAUGGUGUAAGAACAACGACGGAAACAUAGACUUAAUUAUAUAAAAUGGAGGAUGACCGAGACGCUUGUGCUGAAGCCAAAUUUGUGAGGCUGAAGAGGAAGACUGAGACUGGAAACAGGAGGACAAUACCUUUGGAUGGUCAUCAGAGAAGUAGUAUAACCCUUCCUUUUCCUUAGCAAUUCCAAUCGUCUGCCCCGUGGUAAGGUCCUGAAAAACAC
rnacentral:lncRNA from 1 species